rnacentral:lncRNA from 1 species
ACAAGGAAGAUGUUUUAACAGGAACUUCCAACACCUCUGGCACUAAAUCAAUCUCAGGAAAUGAUGCUUUGGAAUUCUGAACCUCGCAUUUGUGCUUAGGUGAAACUUGUACGGACUCAUCCAGAGAAGGGACAGACGACGGAACAUUCGAAUUGACCACAGGAGGUGAAAAAGGUAAAUUAGUAGUAUCAGAAACAUUCCUUUUCUCGAAUGCUCUACUCAAUUCCCUGUCAUCUCUAUCCCAAACAAUUGGAGAAAACUUCCGCUUCUUAUUCUGGACAGGCAAUGAUUGUUUUCCAUUUUCUGACGUCUUAACCUCACUCUCUAUAUUAAUCCGAGAUUCCAAAUCACUAGCCCCAUCAGACCCGUCACUAGACAGCUCCCCAGGCUCUCGAUCCAUGACCCGAACUGCCAAUCAGAAAGUACUGGUGAGCCAGUAAAUGAAGUAGCUGGAAAUUUCCUACGCAACUGAUUGUAUCUGAAAUGAAUGCAUCACCAAUUAGUAGAAACGUGACAUUUUAGAAAAAUAUUUAAAACUGUCACCCAUAGAGACCAGAAAGCUAGAUAAUAACCAACCUUAGCCUGAAACCAGUGAAAAGAGUAGCAAAAUGAUGAUGAUGAUGAUGAUAAUAAUAAUCAACUAGUAUAUGGAUUGAAUAUACAAGAUACAAGAACCUACUUAUUCUUGACAAAGUUAACCUUCACCCCAGGAAGUCUAGAAAACCCAGGCCAGAUUGUCUCAUUUGGUGUGCCGAGGAUUCUGAAAAUCUGCAAUAAACAUCAUGAAAGAAACUAAUCAGGCUAUAUGUUAUCCACAUUUAAUAAAAAUCAUAAACUGCAUUAUGAAUAAGAUGCUGACAUAUUUUACCUUGUCAAGCUGAUCAAACUCUGUUUUUCCACUAAACAAGGGCUCUUUUGAUAACAGUUCAGCCAUAAUGCAUCCCACAGACCACAUAUCAAUUGCAGUAGAAUAUUGUUUGGCUCCCAGAAGAAGUUCUGGCGCCCUGCAAAUGAACUUCUAGUUCAAUUUAUCUUAAAUCAGAGAGCAUAAAAUAUGCACAAUAAAAUCAAGAACUAAGAUGCACUACUGUUGACAACGAUAGUGGUAUCAAGUAUUAGAAUUAUUUUAGCUUUAAUGUUAUAUGGGAAAAUGAUGUGACAAAAGGCUGAGGAAAAUUGCACCAAAUAUGGAACUAAAUUUCUGAACAGAUAAAAUUAGAUCUAUCCAUAUUGGCAAAAAGGCAUUUAUGCACUCUCAAGAUACUAUAGGACUAUUAUAGCACAUGAAUACUUGUAAGAGUUACAAAUAGGUGAUUGUAAACUAAUCAUCAGGAUAAAAGAGCCAAAGAAGAAGUGACGCACACCUGUACCACAAAGUAACCACCAAAUGAGUAUAAGGUUUCAGGGGGCUCCCAUAUUGCCGAGCCAGACCAAAAUCGCAGAUUUUCAGCUCCCCUCGAUUAUUUAAAAGUAAAUUAGAUGUUUUCAGAUCUCGGUGAAGUACCCAAUUAUCAUGAAGAUAUUUGACACCCUCUAACAGCUGGAGCGUAAGGCAUUUAACUUCACUUUGACUAAACGGCUGUCUCAUUGUCUCCAUCAAUCCCUUAAGAUCAUGUUCCAUAUACUCCAUGACCAUGAAGAUGCUGUCAAGAUUGCUACCCACAACUACUUCUUUGACAUCCACUGCUGAAGGAUGCUGAAAAGAGAGAAGGAUGUUAAUUUCUCGAAGUGAAGUCAGAGGAAACCCUUCUCUCUCUUUCUCCAUCUUGACCUUCUUCAAAGCAACAAUUUCUCCAGACUUCUUGUCCCUGGCUCUAUAAACAAUCCCGUAAGUGCCUUCAUUUAUCUUGUUCAAUCUCUCAAACUCAUCAACACUUCUGCACCCCCGAAGCAUAUUCACACUCCUUUCUGGGGUGAGUGCAGUCUCUGGUGUACCACAAGAACCUAGUUCAUCCACAGAUUCCAUAUCCGACUGGCUAACACUAGUAGCACCAUAAUUUCGGUCCUCAUCUAUCUCCAUGUAGUCAUUCUUAUCAACGUUGUUAGGGUAACUAUCUCUACUAGAAGACCUAACACACUCAUCAGAUCCAGAGGACCUCCCCCUAGUUCCUUUAGAUCCUUCGGCUUUAACCUCUCCAAGCUCUGGACUUCUUGAUUUCCUAUGCCCCCAUACUAGAGCCGACUCAGUACCAGACCUCCGCACCUUCCAUUUAGGCGUAUCUCCAUUAUCAUGAAUCACACCUUCAUCAACUGGGGAGUCAGCAUUAUUUGCCCAACGAGAGGAAACAAUGGUUCGAGUAGACUCAAAAUCUUCAGCGUCAAAUUCCUCUGCUCCCUGGUCACCACCAGGACACUCUUCGUUGGGAGACAAGGAAGAUGUUUUAACAGGAACUUCCAACACCUCUGGCACUAAAUCAAUCUCAGGAAAUGAUGCUUUGGAAUUCUGAACCUCGCAUUUGUGCUUAGGUGAAACUUGUACGGACUCAUCCAGAGAAGGGACAGACGACUGAACAUUCGAAUUGACCACAGGAGGUGAAAAAGGUAAAUUAGUAGUAUCAGAAACAUUCCUUUUCUCGAAUGCUCUACUCAAUUCCCUGUCAUCUCUAUCCCAAACAACUGGAGAAAACUUCCGCUUCUUAUUCUGGACAGGCAAUGAUUGUUUUCCAUUUUCUGACGUCUU